AGGCAUGACUUUACUUUCCGGAAGGUAGAGUGCCAUCUCCAGGGCCACCAGGAUGGUGAACUCAAAGCUUAUCAGCUCCCGCCUGCCGAUCCUGAAGCGCUCCUCAAGCUUCUGCUCAAAACAUAACAUAUAGAAGGUCGGAAGGCUUCACGUACUCGAUGACGGUGGUCUGGGACGAGAGAAGGAAUGGAAAGAAAAUGAUCACGCGACACUUCACGGCCAAUGGAACGCUCCGAGGAUGUCAAAAGCCAGCUGCUAAACGUGAAACCUAAUGACGGCGUGUUCGCGCACACGUUCGUGAGUGGAAUUAUAGUUUAGCCUCUGGAGUGAAAAUCCCCCGGGAUGGAUUAAACAGCAUUGCAUGUGUGCGUGUGUGUGUGUGUCUGCAUCUCUUUGGAAUAGAUUCCACUAAGCUGCUGCCUAUCAGGCCACCAAUUAAGCUGACAUCAAGGCAUGUGGCUAUUUGGUGCUUCUUGAAUUUUUUUUGGUCACCAUAUUCUGUUGGGGUACUCGGGAUCACUGCAGAGCAGAAAUGGAUGGUAGAUUGACUGUUGCUCGUGGUGGCCAAAUGCAAAAAGCUACUUUGAUGAAUGCUGCAAAAAUAGGCAAAGGUCUCGUGGGGUCGGUGUUGGCAAAGACAGAAAAGAUGCAAGAUCUCUCCCGGUGGUUCAACAUGCUUCUUCCGCAUUGAAGAAUGUUCUCACCAUGUAAGAGGCGAAGAUCAGCACCCGCUUGUGUUUCCCGCAAGGCCACUGGGGGUCAUUGAGGAUGUUUGGGUCGUAGUCUGUCAUGUCCUCCAGUCCUGCAGAAUAGGAGAGAUGACAUUUUAAAAUCUAGCCCACUCCUCGUUUAUCUUGUCUUGGCCUAAGAGCAGAUAUCAUAUCAGUUUGGAUCGAGUGCUCAACGUGGCGGACAGAACAAUACGUAAAGCUUUUUUUUUCCCUCUCAAAUAAAGCAACAUUUUGAUGGGCUUACUUCUUGACUAUUGAUGGGUGACCCUAACAAAUCAAAUUGCAUGAUGGCAGAAUUAUAAAAGAUGCUUCCCUCUAAUUAUGGACGUUUGCUCUGUACACAGAAAAUGAAGAUGAGUACUGUUUGUGUGUUCUACCAAGGUCUAGUCCCACGACGCUGUUGAGCCUACUCGGGGGUAAACGCCUGCCGGGCAUGCUGUGAGAGCUCCUGGAAACGGGGAUUUGCAGCGUGAGGUCGCUGGUGGACGACGGCUUCUGACUCGCCAGGGCGUUGGUGGGGUACAGGAACUGGGCGUACGACACCGACUGGACCAGAGGCAAAGGAAAGGUCGGGUCACGUGGGAAUGGAUUCUCGUGACACGGGUGUGUGUUGACGUACCCUGCCGUACGUCUCCAAGUGGAAACCCUCCAGUCCCAUCAUCUCCAAGGAAGUGGAAAUAUUCCCGGACGAGUGUCUCCUCCGGGGAUGGUUCAGCAUGGGCUCACUAGAGACAGAAAUUUGACGAGAGAGCAGCGUUCUUCUUUCCGGUCCUUCCUUUCAAAUGUGCCAUCAACACGCGCGUGUACCUGAGGUAAAAGCUUUCUCCGUACGGCAGGAUCGAGAAGGCCGCGCACAGGGAUCUUUUAGCGCAGAUCAAGACGAUCCUGAAGGCGACAAAACACACGUCGGCAAUUCGUCUUUCCCCCUUCACAGUUGUGAACAUUCACAGGACUCGCUUUUGUGCGACUGUCGUGAACAAGCGUUUGGCUGGCAAGCAAGCAAAAGAGCAUUUGGUUCUCAUGAUGCAUGGGAAAGUCAAGUCUGUGGGGAUUUGACGACGGGAAAUGACCCGAACUGUGACAGGAGCAGUACAUUUUAGCGCCUAACUCCACUAGAUGUCUUAUUUCACUUGCGGCUCCAGCAAGACACAAGUUCUCUGCAUUCUUGUACAUUUGCUCGACUAAGCGGGUAUUGGGCAUGAUCUCUUCUGCACGAUGAUAUUGUGACUGGUAAUCUACAAACAGCUGCGCCGCUGGUGGCAAGAUCUAUUUUGGAACAAUCAGCCGUGAGUCUAUUAUUACAGAACGACUCAUUCUUGUUCCCCGGACUCAGAGGUCAGAUUUGUUCCGUCUGCAAGGAAGAAUAGAGGAACGAUUACACUGAAGGAGGAGACAAAGCAAUGGCGCGGAAAGUGACAAGCUGAUUCAAACAAUAAUGCAGUAUUAAUAUGGCAAUUACAAUACAUUUUAUGUCUAUUUCUUGUCUAGACGGGAAUGAGUCAUCUCCAAAAAUUUCUAUACAAGAGAAUAAACCUGUCUUGCUCUGCAGAUUUUGUGAUUGCCACUGCCUGAUGAAAAUUGCAUCUUUUUUUGAACACGCAUGACUGAUUAAGGGAGAAAACUAUUUUUUUUACACUGUUUUUUUACACUCAAAUAAGCAUGUAUAUGACUAGUAUUAGCAGAGUAUGCCAUGUGUGUGUGUGUGUGUGUGAUGUGAUUCGGAAAACGUACGGCAAUCUUGGAUGAAUGACCGAGAUGGUGGUCGUAUAAUAAAGAAAAAAAACAAG